UGCAAUUCACUCCAAACAUGUAAACAGUGUCACAUCUUACAGAAGCUUCUAAUUUUUUACAAUGAGUAUGGUACAUAAACCAAUGUGCUUGGGUUGUGCUUUGUGUUUCUGUCAUGCCUUGUCUUUAGAAGGCACCGUGAUGAAUGCUAAUUUAAUAGAGGAGAAUCAAGCAAGCGAUGUGCAAUGAUUUUAAUGAAUUUUAAUGACCAUAUUCUACACUUAAUGAUGAUUGAUAGUCGAUUUAUGGUUUCUCCCACUUUAGUAAGAAAGAUGUGGUGUACAGAAUCUUGCAAAAAUGGAGGAUAUGGAUUUGGGGCGCGAACUGUCCCGACCACGGCAGUGCUGCCUACCAACACCAUGUGCAAGACUGCCUGACUUGUCCUCUAUCUUAAUGUUGUCAGCAAGAAGUUACUCCAAAUUCCAUCGCCUAACAAUAUCAUCAGUUGUAAGAAGUUAGGAGUUUGGUACGUACCCCGGUGCAAGAGACCAUGGAUGCAAAAGUCAGAUAAUUAGGAACCUGGACUACAAGGGCAAAUGGGAGGCACCUUUCAUCGACAUUCAGCCCAGGGAACCUCAACUUUCCCACUGUUGUACAUUCAUACUACUGUCCAUGUAUCGCUUCUGCUCAACUAUAAUACACGGAAACAUGAAAGCUCAUGUUUUCCCUUGUUUGUGCAGAGUACAAGGAUGAUUCCUACAUCUAUGCAUUGAUAUGCUGAACCACAUUGGCAUUGAGCCAAGCCAGGUUAGUGCUUCAAAAAUUCUGAAAAAAUCUGU